CGGGUGAGUAAUGCUUGGGAAUCUGGCUUAUGGAGGGGGAUAACUACGGGAAACUGUAGCUAAUACCGCGUAGUGUCGAGAGACGAAAGUGCGGGACCGCAAGGCCGCAUGCCAUGAGAUGAGCCCAAGUGGGAUUAGGUAGUUGGUGGGGUAAAGGCCUACCAAGCCUGCGAUCUCUAGCUGGUCUGAGAGGAUGGCCAGCCACACUGGAACUGAGACACGGUCCAA
rnacentral:rRNA from 1 species